UACGUAGGGAGCAAGCGUUGUCCGGAAUCAUUGGGCGUAAAGCGCGUGUAGGCGGUUACAUAAGUCUGUUGUGAAAGUCGGAGGCUCAACCUUCGAAAGCCGAUGGAUACUGUGUGACUUGAGUACGGAAGAGGAGACUGGAAUUCCUGGUGUAGCGGUGAAAUGCGCAGAUAUCAGGAGGAACACCGGUGGCGAAGGCGGGUCUCUGGGCCGAUAUUGACGCUGAGGAGCGAAAGCGUGGGGAGCGAACAGG
rnacentral:rRNA from 1 species